rnacentral:rRNA from 1 species
AUUGAACGCUGGCGGCAGGCCUAACACAUGCAAGUCGAACGAGUGGCGGACGGGUGAGUAAUGUCUGGGAAACUGCCCGAUGGAGGGGGAUAACUACUGGAAACGGUAGCUAAUACCGCAUACCAUCGGUUGCGCCCAGAUGGGAUUAGCUAGUAGGUGGGGUAAUGGCUCACCUAGGCGAUGAUCCCUAGCUGGUCUGAGAGGAUGACCAGCCACACUGGAACUGGGACACGGUCCAGACUCCUACGGGAGGCAGCAGUGGGGAGUAUUGCACAAUGGGCGCAAGCCUGAUGCGGCCAUGCCGCGUGUAUGAGAAGGGCCUUCGGGUUGUAAAGUACUUUCAGCGAGAAGGCGUUACUCGCAGAGAAAGCACCGGCUAACUCCGUGCCAGCAGCCGCGGUAAUUC